rnacentral:ribozyme from 1 species
CCCGACCGUUGUUGCUACCUUGACAUGGUGGUCGGGCUUACUUAUCGUGAUGAACCAAUAGAGCUAUACUGGCUGAAACAAUCGUUCCUCAAGGUCCUACCAUGCCAGACAGGUCGGUUGAAGAACGGCAAGACUAAAAGCAGC